rnacentral:rRNA from 1 species
AUUGGACGCUGGCGGCAGGCCUAACACAUGCAAGUCGAGCGGAUGAAGGGAGCUUGCUCCUGGAUUCAGCGGCGGACGGGUGAGUAAUGCCUAGGAAUCUGCCUGGUAGUGGGGGAUAACGUCCGGAAACGGGCGCUAAUACCGCAUACGUCCUGAGGGAGAAAGUGGGGGAUCUUCGGACCUCACGCUAUCAGAUGAGCCUAGGUCGGAUUAGCUAGUUGGUGGGGUAAAGGCCUGCCAAGGCGACGAUCCGUAACUGGUCUGAGAGGAUGAUCAGUCACACUGGAACUGAGACACGGUCCAGACUCCUACGGGAGGCAGCAGUGGGGAAUAUUGGACGAUGGGCGAAAGCCUGAUCCAGCCAUGCCGCGUGUGUGAAGAAGGUCUUCGGAUUGUAAAGCACUUUAAGUUGGGAGGAAGGGCAGUAAGUUAAUACCUUGCUGUUUUGACGUUACCAACAGAAUAAGCACCGGCUAACUUCGUG